rnacentral:rRNA from 1 species
AACGAACGCUGGCGGCAGGCCUAACACAUGCAAGUCGAGCGAGGACUUCGGUCCUAGCGGCGGACGGGUGUGUAACGCGUGGGAACGUGCCCUUUGCUUCGGAAUACCUCUGGGAAAUUGGGAGUAACACCGGAUGAGCCCUUUGGGGGGAAGGUUUAUUGGCGAACGAUCUGCCCGCGUUGGAUUAGGUGGUUGGUAGGGUAAUGGCCUACCAAGCUGACGAUCCAUGGCUGGGUUGAGAGGAUGAUCAGCCACACUGAGAGUGAGACACGGCCGGGACUCCUACGGGAGGCAGCAGUGGGGGAUGUUAGACACUCGCGGGAAGCCUGAUCUAGUCCUGCCGCGUGAGCGAUGAAGGCCUUGAGGUUGUAACGCUCUUUCAACUGGGAAGAUAUUGACGGUACCUUCAGAGGAAGCCCCGGCUAACUCCGUG